CAGAAGCGGACAAGCAAACAGCGGAUGUGCAGUUCCUCUCUUCGCCGAACCCGGUUUUCCCUUUCGGAGCAGCGCGACCGAUUUCCGGUUUCCCCGCCGCAACCACCGUUACCCCCCCCCCGCCCCAAUCCCCGGCGACUCCAGCGACGUCACCGGUUCAGCUCCUGACCUUUCGGCGAACCGCAGAACCACAGGCGACCCGUUCGACGUCAUCACUCCCCGCCCAGAUGUCGCUGUGACAUCACCCCGCACGUGCCUGCGCUGGCACCGCGUCGUCCUGGCGAGCGCCUCCUCGCGGCGGAAGGAGAUCCUGGGGUUCGCUGUGCGAGACAUGUCGGCGGGGUUUCACGUGAGUGACACUUGGUCCCCACGGGAUUGACAGCGACUAGCGGAGUGGCAUGUGGACGUAGCUUCAGGCCUUGGAGGGGCUGAUCCUGGAGAAGUCAAAGGACCAGGAGGACGCCAUGGGGGGUGCUGUACAGGCUGAGCAGGAAGCAGAGCAGCACAGCGUCAUCAUGAGGGUAGCCAUCUUCACCUGGGGCAUCCACGGAGGCCCUGCCCAGGAAGUGACUUUCUCUCUACUGUAGGAGGAGCUGAUCCACGACUACUUGGACAACAGCACACCAGCGAAGGAUGGGACAAGGCCUGGGGCCUCCGCCAUCCAUGCGUGGGGAGUGAUGCUGGUAGAGGGCAAAUUGGUGACGUCAUCAAUGCAGCGGGCUUCCCACUCAACCACUUUAGCCGCAAGCUUGCAAGGGCAGCUGCCAGAGACAGGAAGUGACAUCGCUGUGGAGAGGGCAGCAGGAAGUGAGGUGGAAGAAAAGUGUUUUGAAACUGACCCUACAGAUAAAAGAGUUCAUCAUGAAUGCGUGAGUUUUCUAUUUUUCUAGUAACAAAGAGUGGGUUUUAUAGUGUUCACGUGUAUUUAUUUAUUAGACAUAUUAGAGUACGUUAUAAUUGUAUUUUUAUGAUGAAAACAACACAGUUUUACUCAAUAGAUGUGAGUUUCUAAAUGUGAUAAGAAAGAUCGUACUCGAACAUUAUUUUCAUUCCUGGGCUAUACUGUAUGCCAUUACUUUGACGUAUUUUCAUAUGUACAUUUUAAAUAAUACUGUCCAAUGUGUUAAGAAAGAAAAAUGUUUUAACACAGAUGCUACAGAAAAGAGUGUUAAUCCUGAAUGCCUGUGUGUUCUACUCUAUGCUAGUAACAACAAGAGUGUUUUUUUUGAGAGUUCACCUGCGUUUAUUUAUUAGACAUAUUAGACUAUAUUAUAGCUAUCUUUGAAAGAAGAAAACCAGACAGUUUUGGCAAUAGAUGUCAAUUUCUAAAUGCAAUGAGAAAGAUUUUAUUGAAUGUUAUUUCCUUUAGUGGGCUACACUGUAUAUCCUUUGACGUAUUUUCAUAUGCACAUUUUAAAUAAAACUGUACAAUGCGCCGGGCGUGGUGGCACAUGCCUUUAAUCCCAGCACUCGGGAGGCAGGGGCAGGCGAAUUUCUGAGUUCAAGGCCAGCCUGGUCUACAAAGUGAGUUCCAGGACAGCCAGGGCUAUACAGAGAAACCCUGUCUUGAAAAACAACACAAAACAAAACAAAAACCUGCACAAUGCGAUAAACCUGGAAUUAAAGUGUUUUAACACACUCUAGUGAAAAAGAGUUCAUCAUGAAUGCCUGAUUGUUCUACUGUGUGCUAGUUACAAGAGUGAUUUUUUUUAGUGUUCAUGUGUAUUUAUUUAUUAGAAAUAUUAUACUACAAUGUACUGUCUUUUUAUGAAGAAAACAAGACAGUUUCACACAAUAGAUGUGAAUUUAUAAAUGUGAUAAAAUGGUGUUUUUCGAAUGUUAUUUCCUUUAGUGGGCUACACUAUAUGUCAUUAGGUUUAAGAAUUUUCAUAUGCACAAUGUAAAUGAAACUCUACAAUGUGUUAAGGCUGGAUGAAAAGUGUUUUUACAAAGAUGCUACAGAAAAGAGAAUUAGUCGUGAAUGCCUGAGUGUUCCACUCUGUUAGCAACAAGAGUGUUUUGUUUUUUAUUGUUCGGGUGAAUUUAUGUAUUAGACAUAUUAGACUACAUUAUAACUGUCUUUUUUGAAGAAAACAAGAUAGUUUUGCUCAAUAGAUGUGAAUUUUUAUAUACGAUAAGAAAGAUCUUAUUGGAAAGAUGUCCUUUAGUGUGUUACAGUGAAUGUCAUUACUUUUAAUUAUUUUCAUAUGCACAUUUUAAAUAAGACUGCACAAUGUGCUAAAGCUGGAAGAAAAGUGUUUUAACCGAGACACUACAGAAAAGAUACUUAAUCAUGAAUGCCUUUGUGUUCUACUCUGUUCUAGCAACAACAAAAGUGUUUUUUUUUAUAUUGUUCACAUGUAUUUAUUGAUUAGACAUACUAAACUACAUUAAAGCUGACUUUUUACAAAAAA
rnacentral:lncRNA from 1 species